UACAGAGGUCUCAAGCGUUGUUCGGAUUCAUUGGGCGUAAAGGGUGCGUAGGCGGAUCGUUAAGUCGGGGGUGAAAUCCUGGAGCUCAACUCCAGAACUGCCUUCGAUACUGGCGAUCUUGAGUCCGGGAGAGGUGAGUGGAACUCCGAGUGUAGAGGUGAAAUUCGUAGAUAUUCGGAAGAACACCAGUGGCGAAGGCGGCUCACUGGCCCGGUACUGACGCUGAGGUGCGAAAGCGUGGGGAGCAAACAGG
rnacentral:rRNA from 1 species